UGGCUGAGCGGUAAAGCGUUUGGCUUCCGAACCGAGGGUCCCGGGUUCGAAUCCUGG
rnacentral:tRNA from 1 species